UUUGUUUCUCGGCCUUUUGGCUAAGAUCAAAUGUACUAUUUGUUCUUACUAGCAAAAGGGCUUGUGCGUUGCAACGGAAGAAAAAUAUCACACGCUUUUAAUUUUUUUAUAAUCAUUAUGAUUUAUUAAAAUAAUAAGCUAUACCUAACUAGUGUAGUCAGUCC
rnacentral:snRNA from 1 species